AACGAACGCUGGCGGCAUGCCUAACACAUGCAAGUCGAACGAGACCUUCGGGUCUAGUGGCGCACGGGUGCGUAACGCGUGGGAACCUGCCCUUAGGUUCGGAAUAACUCCCCGAAAGGGGUGCUAAUACCGGAUAAUGUCUUCGGACCAAAGAUUUAUCGCCUUUGGAUGGGCCCGCGUUGGAUUAGCUAGUUGGUAGGGUAAAAGCCUACCAAGGCGACGAUCCAUAGCUGGUCUGAGAGGAUGAUCAGCCACACUGGGACUGAGACACGGCCCAGAAUCCUACGGGAGGCAGCAGUGGGGAAUAUUGGAAAAUGGGCGAAAGCCUGAUCCAGCAAUGCCGCGUGAGUGAUGAAGGCCUUAGGGUUGUAAAGCUCUUUUACCCGGGAUGAUAAUGACAGUACCGGGAGAAUAAGCUCCGGCUAACUACGUG
rnacentral:rRNA from 1 species